ACGGAGCAACGCCGCGUGAGUGAUGAAGGCUUUCGGGUCGUAAAACUCUGUUGUUAGGGAAGAACAAGUACRAGAGUAACUGCUYGUACCUUGACGGUACCUAACCAGAAAGCCACGGCUAACUACGUGCCAGCAGCCGCGGUAAUACGUAGGUGGCAAGCGUUAUCCGGAAUUAUUGGGCGUAAAGCGCGCGCAGGCGGUUUCUUAAGUCUGAUGUGAAAGCCCACGGCUCAACCGUGGAGGGUCAUUGGAAACUGGGGAACUUGAGUGCAGAAGAGAAAAGCGGAAUUCCACGUGUAGCGGUGAAAUGCGUAGAGAUGUGGAGGAACACCAGUGGCGAAGGCGGCUUUUUGGUCUGUAACUGACGCUGAGGCGCGAAAGCGUGGGGAGCAAACAGGAUUAGAUACCCUG
rnacentral:rRNA from 1 species